GCCUGCAGCAUUCUACUUUCUGGAUUGCUUAAGUGAUUGUGUUAAGGUUUUUAUUUCCUGUUAUUUCACUUUUCAAUAGUAUAGAUGGCUCCAGUGCGUUCUUUAAUGCGUUCAUGUCCACUUUGCUGUAAGGUUGUGGUUGGCUUCAGUCCGCACCUUAGGUAAGUACACAAUGUUAGGAACAAUGAGGAGAGGAUGCUCCUUUGUAAUUGGCAGUCGGGCCGUGUCAAUAUCAGGCAGGAGCGGUGUCCAGUGACAGGAUGCUCCACCCAUGUCAGCAGGCUGGACCGGCAUAUGGACUCCCAUACAGAGCUCAACAGAGCACAGAGGAGACGGGCUUUAGAGGAGGUGAAGAGACGGCUGACGAUGGAGAGGCUGGCUGUGGGGGUGGCAAAGAAGUCCCUCAGCUUUCAGGCCGAGGCAGACACAGCGCAAGAGGAGCUGCAGCAGGACCAAGUGACAGGUUCAGGGGACCAGACAGAGCAGGCUACAGCGUCCGGAUCUAGCUGCAAACGUAUCUUCCCGGGCUCUGGUAUUAGUAAGUACUGUUUCUUUAAAUAGUGGCAAGUGUUUGUGUUUGAAAAGUUUUUUUUUUAAACAGCCUGACUGAUUCAUGUUGCCUCAUGAGACUGUAAUUGUCUAAAAUGUUAUGUUUUUUUGAUAUAUUUGUUUAUUGAGGGAUUCAGGAAGACCUGUGAGGGCCCCAAACCAAAUUAUAAGCUAAAAGGAAAAUUGUGCCACGCAAUUUUUGAAUUACAUGGCAAAGGAUGAGACCUACGAGUCCGCUCUAAUUUUCCUGACUAACCAUGACAAAAUAAGGGGAUGGGUUCAAUCCCUUCAAAAGAACAAGGCAAUCACCACAGUCAAGCACUACACCUUGACUAUCGGUGCCUUUCUUAAAUAUGCCGAGGAGACCCCUCCACCUGGCUGCCGGCUGACCAAAAACCAAUGGAAGGGGAUCAACCGGUUGAUGAAGGGGAUUAACAAGUCCUUGAAACGACCAGUUUCCCUUCACCAGGUAAAGGUGAAAGACAACAAGGAAGUCAAGGUGGUUUUCAGAAAGAGCCUGCUGGAGUGCCAAUCUCCAAGAUCCCAGAAGUGCUGACAGGUUAACUUCACUUCCGUUCGCCCGUAA